CCUACGUGAGGCAGCAGUGAGGAAUAUUGGUCAAUGGCCGAAAGGCUGAACCAGCCAAGUCGCGUGAGGGAAGACGGCUCUAUGGGUUGUAAACUUCUUUUAUAGGGGAGUAAAGCUAGCCACGUGUGGCUAUUUGCGUGUACCCUAUGAAUAAGCAUCGGCUAACUCCGUGCCAGCAGCCGCGGUAAUACGGAGGAUGCGAGCGUUAUCCGGAUUUAUUGGGUUUAAAGGGUGCGAAGGUGGUGUUUAAAGUCAGCGGUCAAAUUGUGUGGCCAAACCACGUACUGCCGUUGAAACUGGAACACUUGAGUGUGCGUGAGGUAGGCGGAAUGCGUGGUGUAGCGGUGAAAUGCAUAGAUAUCACGCAGAACUCCGAUUGCGAAGGCAGCAUACCGGGCCAUAACUGACGCUGAUGCACGAAAGCGUGGGGAUCGAACAGGAUUAGAUACCCCUGUAGUC
rnacentral:rRNA from 1 species